rnacentral:rRNA from 1 species
CCCUUAGAUGCUCUGGGCCGCACGCGCGCUACACUGGUCGAUGCAACGAGUUUCUUUCCUUGGCCGACAGGCCUGGGCAAUCUUUGAACAUCGAUCGUGAUCGGGAUAGAUUCUUGUAAUUUUUGAUCUUAAACGAGGAAUUCCUAGUAAACGCAAGUCAUCAGCUUGCAUUGAUUACGUCCCUGCCCUUUGUACACACCGCCCAUCGCACCUACCGAUUGAAUGGUCCGGUGAAAUCUCCGGACUGGCGUGAGUCGGAGCAAUCUGACAAACACCGGAAAGUUGAUUAAACCUUACCAUUUAGAGGAAGGUGAAGUCGUAACA